AACUGGCAUGGCAUACUUCCUUGGUUGCCAGGCCCAGCUAAGCUAAAAGAUCAAAUGGAAAGUGUAAAUGCUCUGUUUUUAUCUCACAUCUGGCAUGUGCAUCUAGGCUUGCUGGAGGUGCCCAGAAGUCUAAAGUUCUGAAAAAGAUCAAAUCAGCAGCAGUGAUCUUAAGUGUCUGUGGCUCCCUCUGUCCCUUUUUGUUCUAAAGCAAAGGAAAAUUGCAAAUCCAACCAGCUGUCAGGCAAGGUAAGUGCAUCCUUUAUGAGCUGAGACCCAACCAGUUCAAACAAUGUAUUUUUCCAAGUCAAUACUGUGAACAAUAUAAAUGCACAAGAGAUUUAUUACAGGUAACCAACAACAUGCUGCAUUUUUGCCAAGCAUACCAUAGGCAGGCUGGUCUCACAGCUGGACAAACUCCUACUUUUCUCUACAGUGAAACAUUCAAAACAGAAGAAAUACAAGACACGGGCAGGCUGAACUGUAACUCCUGCACUCAGUUCUACAGUAAGUCACAUUCAUUGAUGGUUGGUCUCCAGGUGGAAGCAGCGUCCCAGGUUGUACAUGCUGACCUGUUAGGUGGGAAUGCUGCAUAAGGAAUCGGGAUGACUGCAACUGCGUUCACUUCAAUACUGCCAAUGUGAUAUCCCACACACAAAUGACAGGUCACCUGCAUCUCACAGGUCAGCUCUGUAACUUUUCUUAAUUCCUCUCCAACAGCAACGAUGAAGGUGAAUAAAGCUCUUCCACUCA